AUUAAAAACCAAUGCCCUYCGGGGCUCACUGGUGAUUCAUGAUAACUYCUCGAAUCGCAYGGCCUUGYGCCGGCGAUGGUUCAUUCAAAUUUCUUCCCUAUCAACUUUCGAUGUUUGGGUAKUGGCCAAACAUGGUUGCAACGGGUAACGGAGGGUUAGGGCUCGACCCCGGAGAAGGAGCCUGAGAAACGGCUACUACAUCCAAGGAAGGCAGCAGGCGCGCAAAUUACCCAAUCCCGAYUCGGGGAGGUAGUGACAAUAAAUACUGAUACAGGGCUCUUUUGGGUCUUGUAAUUGGAAUGAGUACAAUUUAAAUCCCUUAACGAGGAACAAUUGGAGGGCAAGUCUGGUGCCAAGCAGCCGCGGUAAUUCCAGCUCCAAUAGCGUAUAUUAAAGUUGUUGUGGUUAAAAAGCUCGUARUUGAACCUUGGGCCUGGCUGGCCGGUCCGCCUCACCGCGUGUACYGGUCCGGCCGGGCCUUUCCCUCCGKUGGAACCCCAUGCCCUUMACUGGGYGUKGC
rnacentral:rRNA from 1 species